rnacentral:tRNA from 1 species
GGGGCUGUAGUUCAGUUGGCUAGAACGUCUGGCUGGCAGUCAGAAGGUCGUCGGUUCGAAUCCGACCAGCUCCA